AGAGUUUGGUCCUGGCUCAGAUUGAACGCUGGCGCAGGCCUAACACAUGCAAGUCGAGCGGUAGCACAGAGAGCUUGCUCUCGGGUGACGAGCUUUGGCGGACGGGUGAGUAAUGUCUGGGAAACUGCCUGAUGGAGGGGGAUAACUACUGGAAACGGUAGCUAAUACCGCAUAACGUCGCAAGACCAAAGUGGGGGACCUUCGGGCCUCAUGCCAUCAGAUGUGCCCAGAUGGGAUUAGCUAGUAGGUGGGGUAACGGCUCACCUAGGCGACGAUCCCUAGCUGGUCUGAGAGGAUGACCAGCCACACUGGAACUGAGACACGGUCCAGACUCCUACGGGAGGCAGCAGUGGGGAAUAUUGCACAAUGGGCGCAAGCCUGAUGCAGCCAUGCCGCGUGUGUGAAGAAGGCCUUCGGGUUGUAAAGCACUUUCAGCGGGGAGGAAGGCGNUAAGGUUAAUAACCUUGUCGAUUGACGUUACCCGCAGAAGAAGCACCGGCUAACUCCGUGCCAGCAGCCGCGGUAAUACGGAGGGUGCAAGCGUUAAUCGGAAUUACUGGGCGUAAAGCGCACGCAGGCGGUCUGUCAAGUCGGAUGUGAAAUCCCCGGGCUCAACCUGGGAACUGCAUUCGAAACUGGCAGGCUAGAGUCUUGUAGAGGGGGGUAGAAUUCCAGGUGUAGCGGUGAAAUGCGUAGAGAUCUGGAGGAAUACCGGUGGCGAAGGCGGCCCCCUGGACAAAGACUGACGUCAGUUGGAAAGCGUGGGGGAGCAAACAGGAUUAAAUACCCCUGGGUAAUCCACCCCGUAAACGAUGUCCAUUGGAGGUUGUGCCCUUGAGGCGUGGCUUCCGGAGCUAACGCGUUAAAUCGACCUUUGACUGGGGAGUACGGCCGCAAGGUUAAAACUCAAAUGAAUUGACGGGGGCCCGCACAAGCGGUGGAGCAUGUGGUUUAAUUCGAUGCAACGCGAAGAACCUUACCUGGUCUUGACAUCCACAGAACUUUCCAGAGAUGGAUUGGUGCCUUCGGGAACUGUGAGACAGGUGCUGCAUGGCUGUCGUCAGCUCGUGUUGUGAAAUGUUGGGUUAAGUCCCGCAACGAGCGCAACCCUUAUCCUUUGUUGCCAGCGGUUCGGCCGGGAACUCAAAGGAGACUGCCAGUGAUAAACUGGAGGAAGGUGGGGAUGACGUCAAGUCAUCAUGGCCCUUACGACCAGGGCUACACACGUGCUACAAUGGCAUAUACAAAGAGAAGCGACCUCGCGAGAGCAAGCGGACCUCAUAAAGUAUGUCGUAGUCCGGAUUGGAGUCUGCAACUCGACUCCAUGAAGUCGGAAUCGCUAGUAAUCGUAGAUCAGAAUGCUACGGUGAAUACGUUCCCGGGCCUUGUACACACCGCCCGUCACACCAUGGGAGAGGGUUGCAAAAAGAAGUAGGUAGCUUAACCUUCGGGAGGGCGCUUACCACUUUGUCCCGAUUCAUGACUGGGGUGAAGUCGUAACAAGGUAGCC
rnacentral:rRNA from 1 species